GAGAGGUGGCAGAGUGGUCGAUUGCGGCGGUCUUGAAAACCGUUGAACGGAGACGUUCCGGGGGUUCGAAUCCCUCCCUCUCC
rnacentral:tRNA from 1 species